AGGUGGGUCUAUCAAUUGCUGUGAGAUAUGCUUUGACAAGGCGGGCUUUUUCCAUAUCAGCUAGUGUUCCUGAAGUUCUGUUGCUGGAUUAUCCUUCUCAUCAACGGCGCCUCUUACCGCUGAUUGCAAAGACUUGCGCUAUGAGUUCCACGACCAACUUUUUGAAAAGAUUAUUCACUAAGAGGACUCCAGAAAGCAACAAGAGUAUUCACAUAUACUGCAGUGCUUUCAAAGCUACACUCUCAUGGCAUACCAUGAGAGUACUUCAGGAGUGUCGUGAAGCCUGCGGUGGCCAAGGCUUGAAAACAGAGAACCGUGUUGGUAUCUUAAAAGGUGAAUAUGAUGUUCAGUCUACCUUUGAGGGAGAUAACAACGUAUUGAUGCAACAGGUACUGUGCAAUUGUUUCUUUGAUGGGAUCUUUUAUUAGACGCGAGCACAUUGAGAUAAGAUUAACUACACAUG